rnacentral:rRNA from 1 species
UGGGGAAUAUUGCGCAAUGGGCGAAAGCCUGACGCAGCGACGCCGCGUGAGGGAUGAAGGUUUUCGGAUCGUAAACCUCUGUCAGAAGGGAAGAAACCGCACUGUGCUAAUCAGAAGUGCCUUGACGGUACCUUCAAAGGAAGCACCGGCUAACUCCGUGCCAGCAGCCGCGGUAAUACGGAGGGUGCAAGCGUUAAUCGGAAUUACUGGGCGUAAAGCGCACGUAGGCUGCUUUGUAAGUCAGGGGUGAAAUCCCACGGCUCAACCGUGGAACUGCCUUUGAUACUGCUUAGCUUGAAUCCGGGAGAGGGUGGCGGAAUUCCAGGUGUAGGAGUGAAAUCCGUAGAUAUCUGGAGGAACAUCAGUGGCGAAGGCGGCCACCUGGACCGGUAUUGACGCUGAGGUGCGAAAGCGUGGGGAGCAAACAGG